rnacentral:lncRNA from 10 species
UUUUCAGCUGCUCCAGACUUCUUGGCUCCUGUAGGCCACCUGGACAUAUAUGUGCAGGUCACAGGGGUUACAAUGGCUGAGCUUCGGCUCAGAGGCCUGACAGUUCCCUUUUGGAAACGUUACAGGGUGAUGUGACCUCAGCCCACCCUCUUAUCUUUUCCUGGUCCUGGGUUUCAGAACUGCCUGGGGCUCAUCUGAGAUGCCCACAAGCUGCCGGGUCUCUUGGAGGGUCAUGAAUAUCAGCUCCUGGGUCAUUUCUUCCCAGAGGACAGCCUGAGAUGUGCCUGUGGGGCCUCUCAGGGGAGCCGCCGGGUGCACCCCCUCCCCCUACCUCCCGGGAGGGAGGAGUCCCCUGGUAUCUCCCUCCGUCAUCUAAAAGGAAACCCCUUAGGACAUUUAGCUUUUCUCACCCCAAGCCCAGUUUUCACUUCUUGGAAAUACCUCUCUGGUCAGCCACUCAGAUGCUGCUAUUGAAGGGAAAAGACUGGAAUGAUCCCUGUCCUUUGAAUCCUCUUAGCCUAGUGAAGGGAGAAAACUAUGGCUAAGGACAGGAAAACCACCUUCACUGAGAGUGAGAACUUGUGACGGUGAAUAACUCUUCUCUUUCCUGGUACCUGGACUUCAGAGAUUAAUACAAAACCCUGUGGGUCAGGACUUGGCAACACCAAGAAGCAUUCAAAUAUAAUGAUUUAUUCAACUGUGUAUUGUCAUGGAAAUAAUAAUUAAAUGGCACAUCUUUGUUGUCUGAAAG